GUAGGUGACAAGCGUUGUCCGGAUUUACUGGGCGUAAAGAGCGCGCAGGCGGUCGUUCAAGUCGAGUGUGAAAGCCCCCGGCUCAACUGGGGAGGGUCACUCGAUACUGAUCGACUCGAAGGCAGGAGAGGGUAGUGGAAUUCCCGAUGUAGUGGUGAAAUGCGUAGAUAUCGGGAGGAACACCAGUGGCGAAGGCGACUACCUGGCCUGUUCUUGACGCUGAGGCGCGAAAGCUAGGGGAGCAAACGGGAUUAGAUACCCCGGUAGUCCUAGCCGUAAACGAUGGACACUAGGUGUUGGUGGUAUCAACCCCGCCAGUGCCGUAGCUAACGCAUUAAGUGUCCCGCCUGGGGAGUACGGCCGCAAGGCUA
rnacentral:rRNA from 1 species